rnacentral:rRNA from 1 species
CUCUGUGACUCCUACGGGAGGCAGCAGUGGGGGAAUAUUGCACAAGUGGGCGCAAGCCUGAUGCAGCCAUGCCGCGUGUGUGAAGAAGGCCUUCGGGUUGUAAAGCACUUUCAGUUGUGAGGAAGGUGGUGUCGUUAAUAGCGGCAUCAUUUGACGUUAGCAACAGAAGAAGCACCGGCUAACUCCGUGCCAGCAGCCGCGGUAAUACGGAGGGUGCGAGCGUUAAUCGGAAUUACUGGGCGUAAAGCGCAUGCAGGUGGUUUGUUAAGUCAGAUGUGAAAGCCCCGGGGCUCAACCUCGGAACUGCAUUUGAAACUGGCAGACUAGAGUACUGUAGAGGGGGUAGAAUUUCAGGUGUAGCGGUGAAAUGCGUAGAGAUCUGAAGGAAUACCGGUGGCGAAGGCGGCCCCCUGGACAGAUACUGACACUCAGAUGCGAAAGCGUGGGGAGCAAACAGGAUUAGAUACCCUGGUAA